GCUCAGAUUGAACGCUGGCGGCAUGCCUUACACAUGCAAGUCGAACGGUAACAGGUCUUCGGACGCUGACGAGUGGCGAACGGGUGAGUAAUACAUCGGAACGUGCCCAGUCGUGGGGGAUAACUACUCGAAAGAGUAGCUAAUACCGCAUACGAUCUGAGGAUGAAAGCGGGGGACCUUCGGGCCUCGCGCGAUUGGAGCGGCCGAUGGCAGAUUAGGUAGUUGGUGGGAUAAAAGCUUACCAAGCCGACGAUCUGUAGCUGGUCUGAGAGGACGACCAGCCACACUGGGACUGAGACACGGCCCAGACUCCUACGGGAGGCAGCAGUGGGGAAUUUUGGACAAUGGGCGAAAGCCUGAUCCAGCAAUGCCGCGUGCAGGAUGAAGGCCUUCGGGUUGUAAACUGCUUUUGUACGGAACGAAAAAGCUCCUUCUAAUACAGGGGGCCCAUGACGGUACCGUAAGAAUAAGCACCGGCUAACUACGUGCCAGCAGCCGCGGUAAUACGUAGGGUGCGAGCGUUAAUCGGAAUUACUGGGCGUAAAGCGUGCGCAGGCGGUUAUGUAAGACAGAUGUGAAAUCCCCGGGCUCAACCUGGGAACUGCAUUUGUGACUGCAUGGCUAGAGUACGGUAGAGGGGGAUGGAAUUCCGCGUGUAGCAGUGAAAUGCGUAGAUAUGCGGAGGAACACCGAUGGCGAAGGCAAUCCCCUGGACCUGUA
rnacentral:rRNA from 1 species